AAGGGAACUCCUCCUUUUGGACCUUUUCUCUUUUUCUUUCUCUGGUUAUUCCGCUCAUUUCUUUGAAAAUUAGGAUCAUGAAAUUAGUGAGUUUUGUGCAAAUCUGAUUACACCGAAUCGCUAAUCCUGCUCAUCUGCGUUUGUGCCGUAAUCUGGGUUAAGGAAUUUCUUUUCCUUUUGUUCUUCAAAUUGGGAAUUUUUAUUGAGAGAAGUCGAAGUGAUUUCUCGUCCUGGGAAUGAGUUUUGAAAAUCAGAUGGACGGCAGAGUGUUAUUGUUGGAUUUACGUUGUCCUGUUAGAGAGAUUUACAAGGGUUUCGGAAGCUGAUAUGUAUAGAUGCGUUAAUUGAUUUCGAGUACUAGGGAAAUUUUCAGUGAGAGAAAGAAAGGAAGAAGGUUUUCAUUGGUACUGGAAGAGGAAAACAUAGAGUGCGAGUGUGCGCCUGACAAAUCUUCAGCUAAGACACGCAGUAGAAUCUAUGUAAAUAGAGCUGGUGGUUAAUGUGAUUAUCUCAUUUCCAUCGUAAUUGGAUCUUACAAAAGAAAUUCUCGUGAUGGAUGUGUUGGAGAUGUAUUGAUGCCGAGGAAUUGAAUUCAUUUCUACAUACCAGCUGAACUGCCAUGGGUUUGCUUGUGGUUCUUGGGAAAUUGUCAGGAUGGCUGCGGUUCUGUGAUGUAGAUCAUGUGGCUGUAGAUGAUCGUGCUCAGCUUGGCUUUGGCGUGUCGUAAUGCUUGGGGUGGUUGUCAUAACAAAUGCAUGGUAGUGCUUAUUUCUUUUUCGCGCGCGGCUUUGGUGCCUCCCAUAUCAAUUAUGAUUUGUUCCAAUUGCUGAUAAUCCUUUUCAGAUUAUAUAUGGCACAGAACUGAAGUCAGAGCUUCAAAGAGGUUGCCAUAUUCUGCUGCUAACCCAGGGAAGAAUGUGAACAGUGUCGAUGAGGAGGUGAAAUAUUAUUCGCGAUCAACUGAAAAAUCCACGGCAGAUGCUAGAUUAUGCAGAGUUGGAAGCAGAGGGCUUUGCUUAGUCAAUAAAGAUGGGCCUGGAAAAGAAGAAGGCUGGUGGUGUUGGUCUUAAGUUGCUUUGAAUUUUUCAGUUGAAAGUUUCCCCGUAACUGACCAGCUAUACUCUACUCAGAGAUCGAUUUUCUGAAGCAUCAUUCACGUAACUUACUGGCAUUUGGGUGACCCUUAAGGAAAAACUUGCUCGAGCAUCUCAAUCCAGGUUGCAUUAGAAUGUUUUUGAUAAUAAUAAUGGAGUUGAAAGCAUAAAGAGCAUUUAAAGAAGAAAGAGAAGGAAGUCGGUAAGAAGACUGUCUCAUUAGAGUUACCCUUGGCCCCUUGGAAGUUGUUUGGUUUGCCGCCAGAUAAUUUCUUAUCAAGGACUUUGCGUGCUCCCUGAAGAGAAAGAUGCCUUUGCAGGUUUAACUGUGAAACUGUUAUGAUCAAUUGUUGCGGCAGUCAACCUCUUUCACAACAAAUAUUCGGCCGGGAACACUGGCAAAUACUGUUUUGGAAGACAAAAUUCACGUCUUUUUGACAAUCGUCUGUCCAAUUCAGAUGCUUGAAGCCACAUGCGUUAUUCGCUUGGCCCUAAACUUGGUUUUGCACAAUCGCAUGAUUCCAUGCGACCGGUCAUCCAUUUGAAUCAUAGAAGUGAUCAGUCCCAGGAUUUUCCACCUGCCAUUUUAUUAGACGGUAGGGUAAAAUGGAUUUGCUGUUACGACAGUCAAGUGCAGUGCAAUCCGGUAGAUGAAAGUUUGAGAAAUACCGCUAUCCUCAGUUACGCACACGCCAUCUGUGGCUAUACAUAACCUGUCUGUCAGCUUAUUGGUGCAUUGCAGCUCAGCUGAUGUAUGACAUUUAUGGGACGAUUUCCAAGACAAAAGUUGGCAUUAAUUUGACAGGAUAGUUGCCUAAAAAGUACUGUUAGCAUACUUCAAAACCAAGGAUCUCUUAGGAAUUUCUACAACAGCAUGAGGUAUUACAACAACAAUGAUGUCAUUUGGGAGGUGGCUAAAGAGUGAACUCUAGGUUAACUAUGAACAAAGUACUUAGAGACGUACAGGGGUAAAAGGUACUGAAGUGUCGGUUGAUGCUGGUGGUAGUGUUGAUAAAUAAAUUCGUGAAUAUUUCCGGGAUGCAAGAUUAGUGAAUUUUGGUAAAUGCACCAUUUAUCUGUAGUAUAUUGAAAUUUUGAAAUGGAUGACUGUCCAUUUGUAAUAUUUUAAAAUGGUACUUCUUUAUGUUUUCAUCUUGAAUAGAAUUUUUUUCUAUUACUA